UCUUGCCAGGCACUUAGGUGAGACUGGCUGGCCUGUGUUCCCUGGAUCUUCCUUUUUUUCUUUUUUAAAAGUGGGAAAUCUGUUUCCCCUUUUCCAGUCACUGGGAACUUGCUCAACUGCUCAGAUAGGAUGGAAAGUGGCUUAGCUACUUCAUCUGUCAGUUUCCUCAGGAUCUGUGGAUGAAUCUCCUCAGGUUCUAUGAAUUUGUGCAUCUUCGGGUUCCAAAGAUGGUCUCGAACUUUAUCUUUUCCUAUACCAGAUGGCUCUUCCAUCUCCCAGUCCCUGACUUUUCUUUGUGCAACUCAGGCGAUGUUGCUGGAGCACUUGAUGAUGAAGACUAGGGCAAAAAGGUCACUGAAUACCUCAUUUUUCUCCAAAUGCCAUGUAACCAUGUCUCUCAUUUCCUUCUAGAGAGGGCCUACAUUUCCCCUUGUUUUCUUUUUAUCACCAGUGUACCUACAGAACAUUUUCUUGUUGCCCCUGGUGUCUCUGGCCAGAUUUAAUUCUCUCAGGGGUUUCUCUUUCCUAACCUCAUCCCUGGCUGCUUAGGCAAUUUCUCUGUAUUUCUUUCAGGCUACGUGUCCUUGCUACCAUCCUCUGUAGGCUUUUUGUUUGUUUGUUUGAGUUUGCCUAGGAGCACUUUGUUCAUCCAUGCAGGCCUCCAGGCAUUUUUGCUGAACUUCCUCUUUGGCAUGCAUCACUCCUAAACUUGAAGGAUAUGAUCUUUGAAUAUCAGCCAGAUUUCUUAAGGCCUCCAGGACCUUAUCCCAUGGUAUUAUACAAAACAGAUCCCUGAAGAGGCCAAAGUCUGCUCUCCUGAAGGGUAUUGAGCUUGCUGUGUGUCCUCCUUGCUGCCAUAAGGAUCUUGAACCCCACUACUUUAUGGUCACAGCAGCCCAGGCUGCCCUUGAGCUUCACAUCCCCCACCAGUCCUGUCUUGGUGAGAAUAGUGCAGCAUAGCUCCUGUCCUCGUUGGUUCCUCUAUCACUUGGAGAAGGAAAUUAUCAUCAACACAUUCUGUUCUCCUUACUCCUCUUGUUUUCUUUGCUGUGCCAGCUCAGCUUAAUUUCUUUUGCCCAUUUGUUGCCUAUCAGUACUUCCUGGUUUUGCUGCUGCUGCUCUCUUAAAAAUAGUUGCCUAAUAGUUUUGCUGAGCUGAGGGUCUGUGUAGUUGCUUGUUUAAUUAGAAAAGAACAUUUUCUCCUGACAUUAAAGAAAGAGAGAUCCCUUUGAGCAGCAGUUAGGAAAAAUUUAAGAGCCAUCAAUGUAUUAGCAAAAUCCACCUAUGAAAGGAGAGUGACAUCAAGAAAUUAAUAUAAUGUUUACAAGAUGACUAUAGAGUUCAGAAAUCCCUGCUUGUCAUUUGAAUAUUACCUGUGUCUAUUUGAUUGCUACAAUCUUUUGUGGCAAGACUGAGUGGUUGCAGACACCAGUGUGGUCAUGAAAUACAAGUCCUGAAUUGGUAACUCACACUCAUCACAUGUUUCUGAUUUGAUAGCAGACAGGGCAGAAAAUGUCCAUUUCAUGAAAAGCAGAAGGCAAUUACAUUACAUUAGAGUCUACAUGUUUUGCUGAAGGAACCAAGGGUUGACCAGGGGCUGAUACUUUCUGGAUUUUCAUUUGCUGCAGGGAUACUUUGUUAUCAAGGACAAAGAAACUUUCAGAACAGCUUUACAGAAUCUCCACUUUCCGUUCCCCCCUUAAUAAGGUUAUGCCAUUGGAUUAAAUUUUGGAUAUGUGAGGACAUUUAUGUUAAGUGUUGGCUCUAUUUUUCAGUCUUUUAAUGUAGAAUAAAAAGACUUGAAGUAAUGAGA